CUUCUCUGGCUACUGGCAGAAGGAAGAUUAGCAGGACGCAAGGCAGGAGAAAGGAAGACAGUUGAGAGGAUCUUGCAAUCUUCCAGGCGAGGGUGGCCUGGACUUGGGCCUCAGAGGUAGAGGUGAGAGAUUUCUGUUAAGAAUGAAGGACUGUUUUGGAUAAAAGCAGUUUUGGCUCGUGUUGAUUUUCUCGGGGAUUUGCAUUGAAAAAGGAAAUUAUUUAAGCAAUCGCUACACCCAACAUGGAGCUCGAACUCACAACUCAAGAUUGAGAGUUACAUGGCUACAACCCCGACACAGUAGCAUUUGUGCCAAUUUCUGGUUGGAAUGGUGACAACAUGCUGGAGCCAAGUGCUAACAUGCCUUGGUUCAAGGGAUGGAAAGUCACCCGUAAAGAUGGGAAUGCC